UGUUCUCAGGUAAAUGAUGGUGAGCUUGGAGGAGGAGGGUCAGUACCGCCAGGACGCCGGCCCGGACUGUCCUGCCUCCCACCACAUUACCCCAGGCCUCCUAACCCAGGCCUCCUAGCCCAGGCCUCCUGGGGCACCCUAACGCUGCUCUAAGAAAGUCAUUAUGCCGCCAAAGAAAAAGGGAAAAUGGGUUCCACGUUUUCAACGUGGAUCUCAGGCAAAAAGGCAGGCACAAAUGAAAAAAGCACUAGAAAAGAAGAAAGUACAACUCCGCGAGCAGUUCCCGGUAUCUAAUGGUGCUCCACAUCGAGAAAAAGAAAAAGCUCAGGGCGCUACACAAAAAGACACAUGGCCACAGACCAAGCAGUUGGCAAGUCGUCUGCUUAAACCCUGGGUACACAGUAAACCCCUCUUUAAACGACCAACAUGGGGACAGAGUAACCAUCUCUUCAGUCGGCCAACAAAUUCUUGGGAACAGAGUACCUCACUUUCAAGUCGAUUGUUACAGAACUCGGGGCAGAAUCCUCUGUCAUCCAGCCGCUCAUCGCAAACUUUUGGACAAUAUAGUAAUUUGUCAAGUCAAAUGAGAGAAGCUUUUGAGGACAGUUACUCACUUCGAUCACCGCUGUCCUGGAAAGAUAGUUGUUUGUCAAAUCGAUCAGCACAACCUCCAUGGGAACAGAAUAGAUCAUCCCAGCCACCAUGGGAACAGAAUAGAUCAUCACAGCCACCAUGGGAACAGAAUAAAUCAUCCCAGCCACCAUGGGAACAGAAUAAAUCAUCCCAGCCACCUUGGGAACAGAGUAGGUUAAGGUCAAGCUGGCAAGAACAGCUUUGGGAACAAAAUGCUCCUCCGUCAGGUCGAUCACCAGACAAUUGGGAUCAGAAUAAUUCAGUGUCAGGCCGCCAGGAACAGGCUUGGGACCAAAAUGCUCCUCCAUCAAGUAGAUCGGCAGAUAACUGGGAUCAGAAUAAUUCAAUGUUAAGCCGGCAUGAACAGACUUGGGAAGACGAUCCUCCCAUGUCAAGUAGAUCAACAGACAAUUGGGAGCAGAAUAAUUCAAUGUCAGGCCGGCAUGAACAGACAUGGGAAGACGAUCCCCCCAUGUCAAGUAGAUCAGCAGACAAUUGGGAGCAGAAUAAUUCAAUGUUGGGCCGGCGUGAACAGACUUGGGAAGGAGAUAUUCCUAUGUCAAGUCAAUCUGUAGACAAUUGGGAUGAAAGUAAUUUAAAGCCAAGUCGACCAACACAAAGUUGGGAACAGAGUAGUUCAUUGCUAAGUCGACCGGUACAAAGCUAUGAGCAUAGUACGUCAUUGCUAAGUCGACCAGCACAGAGUUAUGAACAUAGUACAUCAUUGCUAAUUCGACCAGCACCAAGCUGGGAACAGGGUUCUUUGCUAAUUCGAACAGCACAGAGCUAUGAACAGAGUACAUCAUUAAUAAGUCGACCUGAACAGAGCUGGGAACAAAGUAGCUCGAUGAUAACCCGACCACCACCUUCGUGGGGGCAGAGUAACUCGGCAACAAAUCGACAACCUACUGCUAUUGGACAAGUUAAUUCAAUGACAAGUCGGCCACCGCCAUCGCUGGGGCCAAACAAUAGCAUUUCAAGUAGACCACAGAACUGGAAUCAGACAAGUUCACAGUCAAAUCAACGAACACAAACAUGGGACGAGGAUAGGCAUCUGAUUGGCGAACAGACGCAACCCUGGACACAGAGUAAUUUGACAAAUCGACCAACGCAGGCCUGGCAGCAGGAUAGCCUUUUAAAAAAUCCACCAGCACAGGCUUGGACUAAAAAGAGCCAGGAGAUGGAUCGAUAUUCACAGUCCCGGCCAGAAAAUAGCCCUGGUGGGAAGAUGUCUAAAGCCCAACCUCCAGUGGCCUCUGAGGGCAUGGCCAAGAAUGAUCCACAUAGAAGAAUUACCCCUGUAAGAUCACACUUCGGAAUGAAAUAUAUGCAGAAAAUGGGCUGGAUGCCGGGUGAAGGUCUCGGCAAGAACAAGGAGGGAAUGAUUGAGCCACUAAUGCCUGAAGCCAAUAUGGACCUUCCAGGAGCCUAUUAUGCAGGGGGAUGGCAAUCAAAAGUUGGACAGCAAGUUCAGAAGCGGCCAAAGAAACUUACAGCUAAGGCUAUUGCAGGCAAGCACCCAGUCUCGGCUGUGAUUGAGCUGUGUACAAAUCGCAAUUGGCCGGCACCCAUUUUUGAGGUGAUCUCCGAGUCUGGCCCAGUUCACAAGAAAAUGAUUAUCAUGAAGGUGACUGUAAAUGGGCGCGCAUAUAAACACAAGGAAGAAGUGGCUUCCAAGAAGGUGGCAAAGGCAGAGGCGGCCAAGAUAUGUCUACAGUCCCUCGGACUAAUGCCCAAGCCCAAGAAAGCUCCGUAGUCACUCGUAAACGAUGAGUGAAGCAAAAUAAGUCACUGCUAGGAACAGUCAUGAGAGUCGUGUUCUUCACUUUCAAGAAGUUCAAGCUCCACUAUACCAGUAGGGACACUGGCCUCCUCCCUUUGGCAUGUAAAAGUAUGGGAGGUGAAAGAUAUCCUCUACAGCUCAACAUUGCUCAUCCUGUAUAAGUAUGGCAGAUGAAGGAGAUCCACGGCAACUAAAUGUGGCUCAUCCCGUGCGAGUAUGCACAGCAGAUCAUGGAGCUCCUCUGCAUUCCCGAAAGAACAAGAGAGUAAAAAAGGACAUCACUUCUAAGUGGAAAAAUUAUGAAAGAAAGUUCUACAUCUCGUAGAUGAAGCAUUAACAGGACUGUGUACUCUGAGGUCUGGAGAAAAACAUAUAUCACAGGAUUGAGAUCUGGAUAUUCCCCAGAUACUAAUCCUAAGAACAUUAGCAGUUGAAGAAGAGUUGCAAAAUUUUGACGAAACAGUGACAACGUCUGGCUCAUUGUUGUAGGUGACCAUGGUACUGGAGCAUCUGUCACUGUUCCCAGUUAUCUGGGCAAUCUCCCUCAUGGAAAACCUGCUCUCCAAGGCUACACAACCCAGGAUACCUGCAGCCAACAACUGCCCACCCUCACCUGUAUUGUCGCUCGUCGCCCUCCGACGUGCAGAGGGAAUAUUGGUAGUUGUUGCUAACAGUUCUCUCACACAUGAGGGCAAUUCUACAUCAAACUACCUGCCUGCCCCUAAACGACCCAGGACCAUGCUCGCUAGCCCCCCUUCACGAUGACCAACUCUACACAACCCUGCACCUCUAUGUGUUCAAGUGACCAUUUGCUCUUUACUUCUUGUGUAUUGGGUGAGCCACUUGGUUGUCAUAGAGCAACCAUGAUGGCGGGUGUGGAGAAGUGGAGCCUACACAUCUUUCAUCAGGCUAAAACAUUUCACACUCAUCAUCCCAGCAGCCCUCAUUAUGUGGCCACGUUAAGCCUCUCUUUGCCAUACCUCUAUCAAGACGACCGAAACACACACCAGAAGAUGAGGAAACGACGACAUUUUGGUCCCUCCUGGAUCAUUAUCAAGUCCUAAUCUUGACAAACAGCAAGGCCCUAUCACGGUGAUACAGUCUACACGCAGCCAUAUCAUUACCUAUUCUGCUACUGUAUUCUACUCACCUACUCUACCCCUCACCACCUUCCCUACCCUUCAUCACCUUCCCUUAUCGUUCACCACCUUCCUUACCCUUCACCAUCUUCCCUUAUCUUUCACCACCUUCCCUACCCUUAACUACUUUUGCUUCAUCCCUGUAACCGUUUUCACUAAUGAUGUCUUCAUUUAAUCAUCAUGUUGAUAAUAACAUGAUGAUUAUCAUUUGCCAUUUCAUGCAAAGGGAAUCAUGGGGCUUGACCUCCAACCACCCUAUGACCAUUACCGCACAAAGACUAGUCACCCUGCAAAGUUUGGUGAGGCUAGCCUCCAGUCUCUGUCCCCCAACAUCGAACAGAGAUUCGUAUUGUUUAUAUAUACUAAUAUACAGUAUAUAGGGGGUACCACCUCAGGUGCAAUUGUAGGGACCCAUAGCCUUGUAGAAGAAAAUGGAGAGUAUUCAGAUAAGACCUAGUGGAUUCUCACUGAACGCUUUAAUAUUUUCUUCUCCUACCGCCUCAAUUUUAUUUUAUUACAUUGUGUUACAAUUUACAGAAAACACACACACAUAACAAUCACUGUUCGAAGACCUCAUCCAGUCCUUUGGACGUGGGAUGUGUGCCCAAGAUACAGCACACAUUUCUUCUGUGGGUCGCGACACUAAGGCACUGGAACAGGAAACUGGCCGCUCUUGAGUCUUUAGUUUGCCUAAUGAGUUCCUCACCCACCUCCUUUAGGGACUUAGGUGUACAUAUUAGACAGUCUAAUAUACAUUAUUUAUAAUAAUUUCCCUAAAAUGGACAUUUGUUACUUUUAACAAUAUGCACCAAACCUGACAAAGAGUACUGGGAAGACGGGACACCACGAGCGUAGCUCUCAUCCUGUAACUACUCUUAGGUAAUUACACACUGUUUGGGUCAACCAGGAAUAUAUGGUUGGUCCACUUCCAGUGUGGACCUUCUUGUUCCUUCUCUCCACUCCUCAUACUUUCAUUCCUUACUCUCUCUUUACCUUUCAACUUUUCUCUCCCUCUUCCAUAUCAAAUAUUUUCCUUUUGUUGUUUUGCUUACAUAAAAUACUGUAAUUUGAUUCUUACUUAAGAGCCUAAUAAAUCCCGUUAUCUUGCCGUGUAUGAAUACUGUACUUGUCUAUUUGUUUGGGUACUGAGUUUCAUUUGCAUAAUUGUUUUCUUUAUAUUUGGUCUUAUAAGAAGUUCAGUUUAGUUAUUUUUAUUUUAUUUUACUUUUAUUUGUAAUAAAUUUUUAACACUUGCCCAUCCUA